GUGAUGAAAUCCUGACUCCCAAAGGUAUGGCAGUAGGAGGCUGAGGUGAUCGGGAGGUGUGUGUGAGUAGAGUGUCACUCAUGAAGAGAUGCCAUGUAAAGACAUUCCUAGCCCCUACAGCAUCUGAGAAGUCUGCAACUGGAAGAGGACCCUCACUUGACCAUGCUGGCACCCUACCCUGAUCUUGGACUUCCAGCCUCCGGAACUUUGAGAAGUUUUAGCAAAUUCCUGACCAUGGCUCUAAAACCAUUUUGAUAGAUUCGUCCUACUUUUUGUGCUUUUCUUAUGAACCUUUGAAAACAUGCUCAAAAUAGGAUUCCUGAUAAACCACCAUCAGUUUCUUCAGAUACUUUAAUCAGGAUGCCUUAUUGUUAACUAUUUUAUCAUUGUGAACAACCUUACUUGGCACAUCUCAUGAUUGAGCCAAACCUAACUGACCUUCUGCACCAGGUCCAAUGCAGUGAGGAGUCUCUUAUUGGAUGUAUUUAGUGAGUAUAAUCUCUGUCCUAAAGCCAGGGCUUCUCAGCUGGCACUUUUGUUGGGGGGUGUGUGUGUGUGUGUGCUGAUUCCUACCCCCACCACCCAGAUGGCAGUAGCACCCUUUCUGCAGAUUGUGACAACCCAAACUGCCUCCAGACAUUGGAAGUUUUUCUUAGGGAACAAACCAUCAACUGCCCCCUCAAAUUGGAAAUGGUCCAUACCUGCCUAAAAGGGUAGCUCACAGCUUCCUCAGCAGGUUUAAUUCCUCUCUUAAAAAGUGAAGGUUUUUGCAGGACAGUAAUAACUGAAAGUACAAGAAUGCUAGAAAGGUCCUCUGGAGUAAAUUCUAGUUGAAAUGAAAAAACCACACCAGGAUGGAAAGAAAACAUUUAUUGAAUCAAAAUCAAUACUUUCUUUUAAUAUCUACAAGCCAACACUGAAUGAACACAAUGUACAAAAAAAGUAUGCUUAUAUUAUAAAAAUAUGUCAAUUUUAUCUUCUGGGUGCUGAGCAGAAGUCAUUUUAAACAAAAUCAAGGCAAACUUGCUCUCUCUAAUGAAACUGCUAUAAUUUAAUAACAAAAGUGAAAGCUAAUAUAUACUCACAAAAUAUUUUAAAGGCCCACUUUAAAGGCGAUAAUGCUGCAUUGGAAAUGCUGAACCCAGUCACCAUAGUUAACAUUUCCGGUCUAUACUUAUUGGCACCACUUCAUGCCUACAUCAUGGGAAAGCACCUCUGUUACAGAAUGCAAAUCACUAACAGAAUCCAUGGCAUUGGUUAAACCUUCAUUCAGUUUCCCGUGCUAAAUGUUUGUUAGCAUGUACUUCAGCAAAGUACUAACAAUCCUAUUUGUUUAGGAUUUAAUAUGAGACACACUGCCCAAGAUUUAUCCCACUUAUGAUGUGGGGGAAGCUGCUGCCCUUCACACUCUCUUCAAGCCUCCCUAAAAAAUUUGUGUCCAAGGUUAGUAUAUUAAGAUUUUUUGUAAUUUUCUUCUUGAAUUUAUUGGCACCUUCCUUGGUGUGUGGCUACUGUAGGUCAGUUACACACUCAGAGUGUGGCCUCGGAGUUUCCAUGGAGGGACACUCUGGUACUCACUGGAGUAUUUGGUCCACAGAACAACAUAUCGAUUAGAAAAAAUAAAAGUAAAAUCAUAUCAUGAGUUCAGGAAAGAGAAGCAGGGCUCCCUGUACUAUGAGUUUAAAAGUUCAAAAGAGACUAAAAAGUAGCACUAUUGACAAGGCCCAGAAAAUCCAAUCUGUCUUUUUAAGACCUUGUACAAAGCAGUGUUCCUGGCAGGAUACAGAAUGACACUGUUACUCAGCAAAUUCCAGAAUGCAGUAUCCACACAGUAAAGUCAACUGCAAAAAUGCCUGGUUUUUUUUUUUGUUUUUUGUUUUACUAAGCAUAAAUGUUUCCUUGACAGGCUCUCUCUUUGGGACUGCCACUUAUUAAGCCUCAAAUUGCAGAAACCCAAGCACUGAGUAAUCCAGCACCCCACUGCACUGGGUAAAUUCAAAAGCACUGAUGGAGAAAUGCUUUCCUGGUUUGCCUUUAUAAGCUGGCUAUUUAUCUAGUUACCCGGUUCAUAAGACCCCGGGACUAAGAUGCAGAGAAAACAAUUACUCUUUAUUCAAUUACUUAUCUAAUUUCUUAGCUCUCUACAUUUUCACUUAAGUCCCAUUUGCUGCAUAAAAUGUUAAUCCUACUAACACCGUUAGGACUGAAUCAGACUAAUGAACAUACAUACACUACACCCUCAUAGGGAAGGUACUUACAGAAAUACACAUAAUUUGUGAAGAAUCAACAUUUUGGAGCCUGAGCAAAGGUUUCUCAUCACUGUCCUAGAAAAAAAACAGUCUCUCCACAGAUUGUUUUCACUGGCAACGAUUCAGCGAAGUCACUGUAUUGCUCUGGGUUAACUUCCAUUGCCCCCACACAGGUCUGACUGUGGAGAAGCCAAUGACUCUGCAGGUGGUACUACCGGCCAGGAGUUAACAAACAGAUCCCAUUGCAUUAAAAUAAAAACAAGUACAAACAGAAUGAGUACACAGUGAGACUGGACAAGGGCAUCACCACAACGCUGAUAUAUACCCACACCUGUUCACAGGUCCUUGCUCUCAAAAUAAAUAUACUGAACAUUUACAACCAAAUGAAUGCCUUAUGAAUGCCAGAUUUUGAUUCUAAAAUAAGCUACAGGUUACCUUUGUGUCUGUGUGUGAAACUGACGCGACUUGGUGCCACAGCUAACCUUUCUCUAACAGUAGCAGCUACCCUCAGCCCACAGCAGCAAAGAAACACUCAUUUCUGGCCUCCCGUGGGCUCCCAAAGCAACUUCAUAAAGCAUGCAGAUAUCUAUUCUCAAUGUUUCAAAUGAAUAAAAAUGAUCAUUGUGCUUGUGGGUGUCAUACCUUCCAAAAUAUACAGAAACAGUAACAAAUUAACAAUAGCAGGUCCUACCUUACCAACAAACUCAUAAGGCAGAGGGUUGGAGAUGGAAAUAGAAACUUUCAAAAUGGGGGGGGGGAGCAAAAUAGUGCUAGCAUUCACAAAAAAAGAUCAUGCUAAGAUCAGAUCCGUAAUUGAUAAAAAUUAAGCCACGAUCCAAAGUCCGUGAGUCCAAAGGCAUGCAUGCCAGCUGAAGGAAAUGCAGGGUUCAUCUGACAACAGCUUCUUCAGAGCAGAACAAGAACGUCUCACUGGAGGAAUCACAACAGGGUGAACAAGAUGCCAUCACACUUCUUUUUUGUAUUUGAAAAGGAAUCACAACAACAAAAAAUUAAGAGUGAAAAGAGAAAACACAGAAAUUCACAAUGACCUACAAAACCAAAAGAAAAAUUCAAAUUAUUUUUACACUUAAAAUUAGACAACUUUUCUUAGAGAUUUAUCAGGAAUGUAGUGUAAAACAUAAAGGUACUUGGCUAUACAUGGCAUCCCCCAAAGUAUCAACACUCAAAAUAGUAACUUCACUGAUGUUUAAAGGACAGUAUCCUUCACUGGAUGUCUUAAAGCAUUUAGUGUUCUUCCUAAGGGAAAGAGCAACCUAAAACUACUAUUCCAAGUGCCUAUGACCAUCACUUGAAACACUUAGUAAACUAUUUUUGCCUUUUUCAGACUAUGUCCCAGGUACUCACGGGAGGAGGGGCUAUCCAGCCUUUGUGUCCACAAGCUGCAUCUGCACGCUGGCAGACAUCCCACCCCCGUAGCCCCCCUUGGACUGCAUCUGGUUCUGGAUGGAGCUAACCUAAAACAAGACAAAAACAAAGCAAAGUCAAGAACUAGGGAUGAUACAACUGAUUCUGGUCUCCAUGUUUUAGCUAAAGCAGUUUUAAGGAAGAUACUUUUUAGAGCAAAAAUUUUUUAUAGACUUAAAUUUCUGACUGCCCUUAGACAAUGGUGAAGCUAGUAAAAAAAAAACAACAAAAAACAAAAACAACACUUUUCGGGCCUCAACUUCCUCUCCCCACUUACCUAUUUUAUAAUUCACAAUGUACGUGAUAACAUUUCAAAAACUGAACUACACACAUCAACUCAAGUUCUUCAUUUACAAACACCUCAAGAGAUGAUCACCUCAAUUACUUAGAAUCAAACAAAAAGAAUACAAAUGAAAUUGGACCAUCCCAAGAUAAAUUUUUAAAGUCCCAUGUGAUACAGCCCUAAAGAAUCCAAAGACUUGGAUGGUGGUUCAAAAUUAUUCAGUCAUUUUAACUCUGGUUUAAGUAUUUAUCCUCUCAAAUAGUUAAUGUGAUAAUCUCUCCUCCCCUCACCCAAGAUGGCUAUUUUCUGAUGGACUGUAUGAUACACCGCAUCUUCUCUUACUGAGUGGUAACAAAGCCACAUGAACUUAUGGGCAAGCUGAGAAGUGUCCUUAGUGGAUUAACAUUAUUCCAAUCUAAGCCGAUACCAAUUAGAAGCAGUUUGGAAGCAGACAAUCAGGCUAGAAUGCUAUAAAAAGGAGCAGUGAGGAUGUUUUGGAGGUGCCUCCCUAACAGUGAGGAGUCAGAGCACUGGCAAUCAGCUCAGUGGGCCUCCUCACCCGCCCAAGGUUCCUCGGAGGGAGAGGGGGGGUUGGUAACAACAUCCAUUUAUCAAAUACUGACUAUGAUGUGUUUUCACUGGUGAUCCUGAGUCAGUAUGUUUAAACAAAGUAGUUAAGAUUUGCCUGUUUUCUAAGCAAGGUAGGUUUAAAUAUAAUAGGAAAAAAAAAAGCAAAAAAUAAAAUGCAUAGCUUCUUUAGAUCCAAAAGGGUUUCAGUGAGAAAAUCUUAAUGUGGAACAUAUUACUCUAGCGAUAUCACAUGUGUUACAGUCUUAUCUAUAUAUACAUUACUCAAAUGACUACUUCAGGUAAGAGUAUUAAAAAAAACACCUGAAAUCUAUCGGCCUGUUUAUUUUCAGUCCUUGUGCCGGGUCUAGAGGCUAGAGGCAUAAGCUAUCAGUUCAAGUUCAUUUCCUAUUCCUUUAAGGUAACAUGUUUUGUGGCACAACCUUUAUUUUACCCAGGUACCAAAUAAUUUCCUCCCUAACAUGUUACCUUUCCUAGGUAUUUCAGGCCUAUUUAUAAAAAGUAACAUGUUUGUAUUUUCACAUCAUGCAUUCAUAAUGUCAUGCUGAUUCUAAGCAAGAACACUGUUUUCCUCCAAAAGUCAGUUGUUCAGUUUCACACUACAGAUUUUGGAUUUUCUAAUAGCUUAUUUUUGACUGUGUAUAUAUAUAUAUAUAUAUUUUUUUUUUAACACAAUAAGACUAUGUUAUUAAAAGAGUUAUGGGAUCCUUUCUGGUAAGAAGUUAGUAUGAAAGGUAAUCUUGAGAAGCACAGUGUAUUUAAGGGAAAAGAGAAACUCUCCUGUUCAGGAAUCCAGUGUGGCAGAGCUGUUCCAAACGCAUCAAGCCCUGUACCUCAUACAUGCUGCACAGUUGUUAGGACAGACUAACUUAAGGCAAGCUAUUUCUUUGGAUAAACAACAUUUUUUGGUUUUGUCUCCCUUGCACUAUUGCAUAGACACAAAGAAUUCUCUUACCGAAUCAGGCUCAUACAAGUUACGUCUAUCCACUGAUACAACUUUCAGGAAAACUCGGAGAUUACGUAAUACUGAACCCAACAGAAGUGUGUGAAGAACCAACCUGGUGCUCUGUGUCAGAGGCUGCAUGUCACAUUACAAACAAAAACUAAAGUUAAGUACAAAAAACCUUUCAGAGACACAUUAGGUUCUAAUGAGCUAAGACACUUCAUUAAAAAACAUGUAUUCUGUAAGCAGAGAAGGCUGCCUUGGACUCAGCAGGUAGACUGACAGCUGAGGGCCUGUCUUGAUCCAGCUCUCUCAGCUAAAGAGACAGACCAUGGAUGCCCUACAAGAGACCAUCCUGAAGUUCUAGCUAAACUGAUGGCCACAAGAGUCCCCUACAUCAACGACAGUCUCCUUGCGCAAACAAAAAGUCAAAAAAGAAUUUUAAAGGAAGUUCUGAAAUGUACAUAAACAGUAUUUAAAAAGUGAAAUAAACAUGAACUAAAAUUUAAUUCAUCCUAUAGAGUUUUAAAAUAUGAAAUGCAGAAGAAGACAUUUGUUAAGAAAUUAAAAUUCAGCAUGUAUAAUAAAUUUGAAACCAUUCACUCUA